rnacentral:misc_RNA from 1 species
AUUAUUAUUAUUAUUAUUAAAUAAUUUUUAUUUAUACCACGUUGACUAUAAAAUAGUGUGUAAUCCUUCUAUAAAAUCGAUAUUUUCCUUAUUUAAAUUAGGCUUUCGUGUGUACGAAAUUCUUAAAUAUAUUUAAUCUACCACAUUAACUAUAAAUUAAAGUCAAUUAAAUUAUUUUAUAACAAUAUAUUCAUAAAUAAAUAUAUAAUAUAAUUUUUAAUUAUUUUUAUACUUAUAUAAUUAUAGAUGUUAGUUAAAUUUAUAAUUAAUGGAAUAGAUUGAAUUUAUUUAAAAAUCUUUUUAAAGUCUUAUAUAUUUUCUAUGUUUG